rnacentral:misc_RNA from 1 species
GAUGAAGAACGUAGCAAAAUGCGAUACUUGGUGUGAAUUGCAGAAUCCCGUGAACCAUCGAGUUUUUGAACGCAAGUUGCGCCCGAAGCCUUUUGGCCGAGGGCACGUCUGCCUGGGCGUCACGCAUCGCGUCGCCCCCCACAAUUCUCCGUAAAAGGAACAUGUGUUUUGGGGGCGGAUAUUGGUCUCCCGUGCUCAUGGCGUGGUUGGCCGAAAUAGGAGUCCUUUCGAUGGACGCACGAACUAGUGGUGGUCGUAAAAACCCUCGUCUUUUGUUUCGUGCUGUUGCUCGCAAGGUAAACUCUUUAAAAACCCCAAUGUGUCGUCUCUUGACGACGCUUCGACCGCGACCCCAGGUCAGGCGGGACUACCCGCUGAGUUUAAGCAUAUCAAUAAGCGGAG